rnacentral:tRNA from 1 species
GCCGGCGUGGUGGAAUGGUAGACACGAAGGACUCAAAAUCCUUUGUCAGCAAUGAUGUAAGAGUUCAAGUCUCUUCGCCGGUA